rnacentral:rRNA from 1 species
UUAAUGUGUAAAAAUUAAAUUAAUAAUAUUAUAUAGAGAUGAAAUGUCAUUCGCACUUAUAGAUAGCUGAUUUUUCUAAAACUGCAUAUAAGUGCUUCAUAAAUAUACUGCUUUUAGGUCAAGCUAAAAGCAGAAAAAGAUUUAUAAAAACAUAUAUACUAAUUUUUCUAAGCCUAAAAAUAGCAAAGAAAAAACACAUGUUAAAAAGUGUAUAAUAAAAAUAUAUGAUCAUAACAAAAUAAUCAAUUCAUAUAGAAAUAUUUUAAACAUUUUUAAAAAAAAAAAUGGUAGCAUGAGUAUAACGCCAAAUAAAAAUAAUGCGUAAAACAAACAAAAAUAAGGAACUCGGCAAAUAAAGCAACGACUGUUUAACAAAAACAUAGCUUCUGGAUAUUAUUAGAAGUAAUGCCUGCCCAGUGAUAUAUUUAACGGCCGCGCAAGUGCUAAGGUAGCGAAAUCAUUUGUCUUUUUAUUGGAGACCAGUAUGAAGGAUUAACGAAGCUUUACUGUCUCAUUUUUAUAUAUAAAAAUUGAUUUUGAAAUGAAAAAUUUUCAAUUUCUAAGAAGGACGAGAAGACCCUAUAGAGUUUUAUGAUAUUCAUUUUAUUGGGGCAAUAAUGGAAACAAAAAAUCCAUAAAUAAUAAUAUCCCCAAAGGGAAAAAAUAAAAACUACCUUAGGGAUAACAGUGCAAUCUAUCCAGAGAGAACUAAUCGAAGGAAAGGUUUGCAACCUCGAUGUUGGACUAAGAAAAAAUUUUAGUGCAGAAACUAAAAAGUAUAGCCUGUUCGGCUUUUUUCUUACAUGAUCUGAGUUCAGGUCGGCGCAAGCUAGUCCGGUUUCUAUCCUCAAAGAAAUAUUUAUUUUAUUCUCCAUUACGAAAGGAACAAGA